GGGGUGCUCAAUCCAGGGAAACAUUCAAAGCUGCUCCUGUCUGUCAGCUAAAGAUGACAAAUAUUUAUCAUCUCUGGACACCCCUCCAGUGCUGACAUUUAUAACACUUCUCAAAGACAAGGACUAAAAGAGGGUCUAGGCUUACGCAAUGUUAGUUCUUACGAGAUGAAUAUCAGAGGAUAUUUUUUGAGGUGGUGGUUGUUGUUAUCGCAUUCUUCCUCUCUGUACCAAUGAGACAUAACUAUGCCAGAGUCAUACUUCAUAUUCAUCUAUAGGAACAUCUGGCCCAUGUCUAACAUUUAAUUUCCACACCAUUAGAGUCAAACAAUACAUGUACAUCAGUAGAUAAUGUAAUGCAUUAUCACGCAAGGCAGAGAGUAGCAAUUUAUUAGCCUAAUUUAAAAUAGCCUUCAGCAAAAAAUUGUGCAUCUUAAUUCAGAGUUCUGAAUGGAAUGACAUGUUUUCCAGUAAAAUUCAAAAGUAUAUACUCAGACAUGCUUUGGAAAAACUUUCCUGCAUAUAUUAUCUUCUGCAUUAUUCAAGGAUGAGAUAUCAAUUCUGUUUUUUAUGUUCUAAACCAAUUUCACCCAUUAUAACACAAAAAGAGAUAACAGCCCUAGGAAAAGAAAAAAAAAAGGGAAUUCCUUGGAACAUGACCCCACAUUUUUAUUUCUUAGAAAUCAUAACUUGGAUGUGUAGGUUACUCAGAAUUUCUUUGCAUAUACUUAAAUAACAGAAUAUUGCUUGCUUUGAGUGUGUUGUAAAUUUUGCUUCUGUUUCUUCUCUUUAAGAUAUUUUGGUACUACUUUAGUUUUUAGACAAUGAUAUAUAGAGUCUUAGUGGAAAAAUAUAACUUUUAUAAGGAUUUAAAUGAUAUAAUCUUAGAAAGUAACUUAACCUCUACAGCCAAGCAGAGAUCAUUUUUAUUAUUAAAACAGACAUAUUCUUUUUUUUUUUUUCAUACUAUCUUCCAUCAUGCUCUGGCUGGGUCACUAUGCCUUAAAGCAGAAAUAGAUACAACACUGUAAAUCAAGUAUACUUUAAUUAAAAAAAGACAUAAUCAAAUGUCUUCUCAGUUCCUAUAAUGAAAAUCAAAGUUUAGUUUCUUAAAACAAAUGUCCUAUCUAGAGAGAGAUGAAGUACCUGUUAACACCAGUAGAGAACAUUUCCAUUCCCCUAAAUAAGUGAAAAUAAUAGUAUAUACUUAUAGCAUGUAUAUGACAAUGUAAAUUUUGAAUUCUGGGACACAACCAAAGCAUAGAUAUAAGGCACAAUGUAUAUGACAAUUUAAUCUCAAAAGAGUUGGGGAAAAUUUGUCAUCUUGGGGUUCCAAGGUAGUACUUAAUCUGGUAUUGAAUCUUUUUUUUUAACAAAUGAUGUGUAAGGUCCAUGACAGUCCCUAUGACAAAUGCAUAUGCCCAAAUUUCCAUGAGUUCAUAGAUUAAUAAGGAAGAUAACAAAUGCACAUAUAUAAUCAGAGUAUGUAAUAUAACAUGCUAAAUGCCAUUCAAAUCAGAAAAUGUGCUUUUGGAGAUGAAGAAGAGAGGGAUUAUUUCUAGCUCUGGGCAGCAGAAAGCCUUCAAAGAAGAGUCAGUUUUGUGCUGGAAUUUAGAGAACAAGUUGGCGUAUAUUAAUGUGUUCAAUGACACAGCCAGAAGGCAAGAUCCUGGCACUUUAAGAAAGUUACUUAGAUGGUAAGUCAGUCAUUCUUUACCACAAUUAGUAUGGAUCACCCUACCCCCAAAUUCCCGUAUCUUACUAUCAUGUUUUCUCCUGGUAAGCCAAACCUUUAGCUAGGAUCCAGCAGUUAGGCUAGAACUAUUUGCUGCUGUUGAGCUCUUGAGAUCUUCCAUUUGAAACCUAUAACAUGACUGAAAUUUUAUUCCCUUUAUUUCACUCUGGCAUUGUGAAAUUGUCAAAUGUGUUUUGGUAUUGCUACCAUCUGCCUAGUGACUGGUGUGGGGAAAAUGCAGGAACCAUCCUAAUCCCCGAUUGCCUGUACCUAUUCCAGAGAACCUAGACAUUUUACUAUGUGAACUUCCAAACCUGCUGUUAAGCCUUGAUAGUCUUCGAAUUAGUUUGUGUCUUCAUUACUUCAUUUUACUCCAAUGGCUUGAAUUUAUCACAGAGUUAGAACAUUUGUCAACAAGCUUGAAUAUCUAUUCACACAUGUCUUACCCUACACAGGGGCAGAUAUGCAAAUUAAUUUCUCCAACUCUUCUGUUUAGAAGGGGGAAUUUCGGAGUUCCUGUCGUGGCUCAGGGGUUAACGAAUCUGACUAGGAACCAUGAGGUUGCAGGUUCGAUCCCUGGCCUUGCUCAGUGGGUUAACAAUCCGGUGUUGCC
rnacentral:lncRNA from 1 species